CAGCUGAAACAGCCAGAAGUUCACAGGAGACAAAAAUCCAAGAGCAAGUAGUUAAAGUUACAUUUUCAAAUGUCUAUAAACAAAUACACAUUGUAUAAACAAGGAUAAUAAACUAGAGGAGCUAAUAUAAAGAAGCAAAUUUUGACCUUAUGGGGAAUCAUUGAAAUGUGUGAGACCUAUUAUUAGAACAUGGCUCUGGAUGAGCAUGCCAAAUUCUGAAUAAGUAGGAUGGGUAAAGUACGGUGGGAUGGCAGGUAUUAAGAACUAAGUCUCUUUGCAGAAACCUAAGAACCAAAUAGAGGAAGAAUUUGAGUAAAGGGAACCAGGAACAAAGAAAAAAAGGAAGAAAAUGGUUAUGAAGCACCUACUAUGUGCCAGGUACUGGGCAACAUAAUAUUAUCUCUUUGAAUCUUCACUACAACCUUGAAAGAAUCAUUGCAGUCCAGUGGCAAGACAAAAGUCAGGAUGAAUGAU
rnacentral:lncRNA from 1 species